GUUGUGGCUCAGUGGAAAAGCACUUGUCUAGCAUGUGCAAGGCCCUGGGUUUGAUUCUCAGCACGACA
rnacentral:tRNA from 1 species